rnacentral:rRNA from 1 species
GGACUAGCAUGAACGGCAUCACGAGGGCCUUACUGUCUCCUUUCUCCAAUCAGUGAAACUGAUCUCCCCGUGAAGAAGCGGGGAUUAUACUAUAAGACGAGAAGACCCCAUGGAGCUUUAAACCCAACAGACAACCCUUAGCCCCUCACCCCCCAAAACUUUUAGGCCCUGUCUGCUGGUUUUAGGUUGGGGUGACCGCGGAGUAAAACUUAUCCUCCACAAUGUAUGGGACUCCUCCCCUUAUCCACGAGCCACUGCUCUAAGAAUCAACAAAUUGACAACAAAUGAUCCAAUUUUCUGAUCAAUGAACCAAGUUACCCUGGGGAUAACAGCGCAAUCCAUUUUAAGAGCCCUUAUCGACAAAUGGGUUUACGACCUCGAUGUUGGAUCAGGGUACCCAAGUGGUGCAGCCGCUACUAACGGUUUGUUUGUUCAACAAUUAAAACCCU